rnacentral:other from 1 species
AAUACCCUACUGUGUGCGCGAUUGUUGCCACGAGGUCCUGAGCCAACACCUGAAAAUAGGGACCCUUAUUCGCGAUAGCGAUGCGAUAGGCACCGCAAGGUAGCCAAGGCAAAGCGUCGGAGCGGGCCCUUCCUGCGUAUGCAGGUUCAUGACUAGGCAACACACGGCAUGGUGGGGUAUUC